rnacentral:rRNA from 1 species
AACGAACGCUGGCGGCAGGCCUAACACAUGCAAGUCGAACGCCCUAGCAAUAGGGAGUGGCAGACGGGUGAGUAACGCGUGGGAACGUGCCUUUCGGUUCGGAAUAACUCAGGGAAACUUGAGCUAAUACCGGAUACGCCCUUCGGGGAAAGAUUUAUUGCCGAAAGAUCGGCCCGCGUCCGAUUAGCUAGUUGGUGAGGUAAAGGCUCACCAAGGCGACGAUCGGUAGCUGGUCUGAGAGGAUGAUCAGCCACACUGGGACUGAGACACGGCCCAGACUCCUACGGGAGGCAGCAGUGGGGAAUAUUGGACAAUGGGCGCAAGCCUGAUCCAGCCAUGCCGCGUGAGUGAUGAAGGCCCUAGGGUUGUAAAGCUCUUUCGCCAGGGACGAUAAUGACGGUACCUGGAUAAGAAGCCCCGGCUAACUUCGUG